AUGGGUUUUGGAUGCUAGAAACCAUCUGGAAUUUUUGCUUUCUGUUCUGUGGUGUUAUCCUCUGAGACUGUUAUCUGCUUAAAAGAAGGAGGGGAGGUCUAGAGUACACAGCCUAGGGGUACAGGGAUUGCCUAACACACACAAGAGUCUGGCUUUGACCUACAGCACUAAAAGGAAAAGGGGAGAAAUAUAGCAGAAAAUAAAAGAUAUAGGUUGGGGCUGGAGAGAUGGCUCAGCGGUUAAGAGCACCCGACUGCUCUUCCAGAGGUCCUGAGUUCAAAUCCCAGCAACCACAUGGUGGCUCACAACCAUCUGUAAAGAGAUCCGAUGCCCUCUUCUGGUGUAUAUGAAGACAGCUACAGUGUACUUAUAUAUAAUAAAUAAAUAAAUCUUAAAAAAAAAAUAGGGCUGGAGAGAUGGCUCAGUGGUUAAGAGCACCCGACUGCUCUUCCAGAGGUCAUGAGUUCAAUUCCCAGCAACCACAUGGUGGCUCACAACCAUCUGUAAAGAGAUCUGAUGCCCCCUUCUGGUGUAUCUGAAGACAGCUACAGUGUACUUAUAUAUAUAAUAAAUAAAAUAAAUCUUAAAAAAAAUAAAUAAAAGAUAUAGGUUAAUAUUUUGAAAGCAGUGGUUCUCAACCUAUGGGUCAUGUCCCCUUGGGGGGGGGUUGAACAACCUUUUCAUAGGGGUGUCCCUUAAGACCAUACUGCAUAUGAGAUAUUUACAUUAUGACUCAUAACAGUGCAACAUUACAGUUGUGCAGUAGCAACAAAAAUAAUUGUAUGUUUGGGGUUACCACAGCAGGAGGGUUGUAGCAUUAGGAAGGUUGAGAACCACUGCUUGCAAGUAUUAUCCUGGGAUAGCAUUGGGAAUACAAUCUCCCAGCUGUCCUCAGAGAUGAUCCUUUGGGCAGUGACCAGGGAUCCAAUCCCCUUUGCUCUUGUUGCUCCACGGCACUCACCCAGAUUGGCCAGAUCACUGCUGAAGGGAACGAGAGGACACACAGAAGUUCCAUUGCCUACACCCCUUCACUUCUGACAGCUUCCUACACCAAAAGAGGCUGGCCACCAUUUUGCUGUGUCUCCAAGAAAAAAUAAAUUACUUUGAAAAGCAUCCAAACAGUCUGUGCCUUCCUCUUUCCGAGAACUGAAAAGGUAUCUGAGGCAGAUGCUGGGAUCACGUACUAUGAAGAUUCAAGGGGAUGUUUGGUUUCAGUGAUUUGAAUUUAAUGAGAUACCAGGCAGCUCACAGACAGGACGAAGCUGAUUUGUAUGCACGGACGUGGGAGAAGUAUCGGGGACAAAUGGAGUGACAGAAGCGAGCUGCAGCACAGCACGUCUAAUAGGAUGCAGUGUGUGCGCAAGCGUGUGGCCGAGGACAGGCCGGGGAAGGUUGUCAGCGGCGCUCUGGAGAGGACAAUGACAUUGGGUGGGGAAGCCUUUGGGAUUUUUAAAAAUCUACUCCAUAUUUCUUAAAA